rnacentral:rRNA from 1 species
AUCGAACGCUGGCGGCAGGCCUAACACAUGCAAGUCGAGCGAGCGGCGGACGGGUGAGUAAUGUAUGGGGACUGCCUGAUCGAGGGGGAUAACUACUGGAAACGGUGGCUAAUACCGCAUACUAUCGGAUAACCCAUAUGGGAUUAGCUAGUAGGUGGGGUAAAGGCUCACCUAGGCGACGAUCCCUAGCUGGUCUGAGAGGAUGAUCAGCCACACUGGGACUGAGACACGGCCCAGACUCCUACGGAGGCAGCAGUGGGGAAUAUUGCGCAAUGGGCGAAAGCCUGAUGCAGCCAUGCCGCGUGUAUGAAGAAGGCCUUAGGGUUGUAAAGUACUGUCAGCGGGGAGGCGUUACCCGCAGAAGAAGCACCGGCUAACUCCGUGCCAGCAGCCGCGGUAAUAC